rnacentral:rRNA from 1 species
UUGAACGCUGGCGGCAGGCCUAACACAUGCAAGUCGAACGGUAACAGGAAGCAGCUUGCUGUUUCGCUGACGAGUGGCGGACGGGUGAGUAAUGUCUGGGAAACUGCCUGAUGGAGGGGGAUAACUACUGGAAACGGUAGCUAAUACCGCAUAACGUCGCAAGACCAAAGAGGGGGACCUUCGGGCCUCUUGCCAUCGGAUGUGCCCAGAUGGGAUUAGCUAGUAGGUGGGGUAACGGCUCACCUAGGCGACGAUCCCUAGCUGGUCUGAGAGGAUGACCAGCCACACUGGAACUGAGACACGGUCCAGACUCCUACGGGAGGCAGCAGUAGGGAAUAUUGCACAAUGGGCGCAAGCCUGAUGCAGCCAUGCCGCGUGUAUGAAGAAGGCCUUCGGGUUGUAAAGUACUUUCAGCGGGGAGGAAGGGAGUAAAGUUAAUACCUUUGCUCAUUGACGUUACCCGCAGAAGAAGCACCGGCUAACUCCGUGCCAGCAGCCGCGGUAAUACGGAGGGUGCAAGCGUUAAUCGGAAUUACUGGGCGUAAAGCGCACGCAGGCGGUUUGUUAAGUCAGAUGUGAAAUCCCCGGGCUCAACCUGGGAACUGCAUCUGAUACUGGCAAGCUUGAGUCUCGUAGAGGGGGGUAGAAUUCCAGGUGUAGCGGUGAAAUGCGUAGAGAUCUGGAGGAAUACCGGUGGCGAAGGCGGCCCCCUGGACGAAGACUGACGCUCAGGUGCGAAAGCGUGGGGAGCAAACAGGAUUAGAUACCCUGGUAGUCCACGCCGUAAACGAUGUCGACUUGGAGGUUGUGCCCUUGAGGCGUGGCUUCCGGAGCUAACGCGUUAAGUCGACCGCCUGGGGAGUACGGCCGCAAGGUUAAAACUCAAAUGAAUUGACGGGGGCCCGCACAAGCGGUGGAGCAUGUGGUUUAAUUCGAUGCAACGCGAAGAACCUUACCUGGUCUUGACAUCCACGGAAGUUUUCAGAGAUGAGAAUGUGCCUUCGGGAACCGUGAGACAGGUGCUGCAUGGCUGUCGUCAGCUCGUGUUGUGAAAUGUUGGGUUAAGUCCCGCAACGAGCGCAACCCUUAUCCUUUGUUGCCAGCGGUCCGGCCGGGAACUCAAAGGAGACUGCCAGUGAUAAACUGGAGGAAGGUGAGGAUGACGUCAAGUCAUCAUGGCCCUUACGACCAGGGCUACACACGUGCUACAAUGGCGCAUACAAAGAGAAGCGACCUCGCGAGAGCAAGCGGACCUCAUAAAGUGCGUCGUAGUCCGGAUUGGAGUCUGCAACUCGACUCCAUGAAGUCGGAAUCGCUAGUAAUCGUGGAUCAGAAUGCCACGGUGAAUACGUUCCCGGGCCUUGUACACACCGCCCGUCACACCAUGGGAGUGGGUUGCAAAAGAAGUAGGUAGCUUAACCUUCGGGAGGGCGCUUACCACUUUGUGAUUCAUGACUGGGGUG